UUGGUGAGGUAACGGCUUACCAAGGCUUCGACGGGUAGCUGGUCCGAGAGGAUGAUCAGCCACACUGGGACUGAGACACGGCCCAGACUCCUACGGGAGGCAGCAGUAGGGAAUCUUGCGCAAUGGGCGAAAGCCUGACGCAGCAACGCCGCGUGCGGGAUGAAGGCCUUCGGGUUGUAAACCGCUUUCAGAAGGAACGAAACUGACGGUACUUUCAGAAGAAGGUGCGGCCAACUACGUGCCAGCAGCCGCGGUGACACGUAGGCACCAAGCGUUGUCCGGAUUUAUUGGGCGUAAAGAGCUCGUAGGCGGUUCAGUUAGUCGGGUGUGAAAACUCUGGGCUUAACCCGGAGAUGCCACCCGAUACUGCUGUGACUUGAGUUCGGUAGGGGAGUGGGGAAUUUCUAGUGUAGCGGCGAAAUGCGCAGAUAUUAGAAGGAACACCGGUGGCGAAGGCGCCACUCUGGGCCGAAACUGACGCUGAGGAGCGAAAGCGUGGGUAGCAAACAGGAUUAGAUACCCUGGUAGUCCACGCCGUAAACGUUGGGCACUAGGUGUGGGCCUCAACCAACGAGGUCCGCGCCGUCGCUAACGCAUUAAGUGCCCCGCCUGGGGAGUACGG
rnacentral:rRNA from 1 species